rnacentral:rRNA from 1 species
AUUGAACGCUAGCGGGAUGCCUUACACAUGCAAGUCGAACGGAGUGGCGAACGGGUGAGUAAUGUAUCGGAACGUGCCCAGUAGCGGGGGAUAACUUCGCGAAAGCGUAGCUAAUACCACAUACCAUUGGAGCGGCCGAUAGCGGAUUAGCUAGUUGGUGGGGUAACGGCUCACCAGGGCGACGAUCCGUAGCUGGUUUGAGAGGACGACCAGCCACACUGGGACUGAGACACGGGCCAGACUCCUACGGGAGGCAGCAGUGGGGAAUUUUGGACAAUGGGGGAAACCCGGAUGCAGCCAUGCCGCGGGUGCGAUGAAGGCCUUCGGGUUGUAAAGCACUUUAGGCAGGAAAGCGGUACCUGCAGAAUAAGCACCGGCUAACUACGUGCCAGCCGCCGCGGUAAUUC